CUUAUUUAUUUUUAAAGUUCUUAGAAUAAAUAAUCUUAUAAGUAUAAAUAUCUAACUAGAAACUAUUCUCUCUAUAAAAAAUCAUGUCGAGUUCAAACUUCUUAGCCCAAAUCUUUGAUACAAAUAGGUUGAUCGAAACUAAUUACAAAAACUGGCUCUGAAAUCUGAGAAUUGUUCUCAGCUCCAAAAAGCUAACCCAUGUCC
rnacentral:lncRNA from 1 species